rnacentral:rRNA from 1 species
UACGAAGGGGGCUAGCGUUGUUCGGAUUUACUGGGCGUAAAGCGCACGUAGGCGGAUUGGUCAGUUAGGGGUGAAAUCCCAGAGCUCAACUCUGGAACUGCCCUUAAUACUGCCAGUCUAGAGUCCGGAAGAGGUAAGUGGAACUCCUAGUGUAGAGGUGGAAUUCGUAGAUAUUAGGAAGAACACCAGUGGCGAAGGCGGCUUACUGGUCGGUACUGACGCUGAGGUGCGAAAGCGUGGGGAGCAAACAGG